rnacentral:rRNA from 1 species
AACGCGAAGAACCUUACCUGGGUUUGACAUCCUCUGACAUCCGUAGAGAUACGGCCUUCGUAGCAAUACGACAGAGUGACAGGUGCUGCAUGGCUGUCGUCAGCUCGUGUGGUGACAUGUUGGGUUAAGUCCCGCAACGAGCGCAACCCUUGUCCUUAGUUGCCAGCAUUCAGUUGGGCUCUCUAAGGAGACUGCCGUGGUUAACACGGAGGAAGGUGGGGAUGACGUCAAGUCCUCAUGGCCUUUAUAUCCAGGGCGACACACGUGAUACAAUGGACGGUACAGAGGGAAGCGAAACCGCGAGGUGGAGCCAAUCUCAAAAAGCCGUUCUCAGUUCGGAUUGGAGUCUGCAAUUCGACUCCAUGAAGUUGGAAUCGCUAGUAAUCGCGGAUCAGCACGCCGCGGUGAAUACGUUCCCGGGCCUUGUA